CUAUGCGCCUUGCCAGCCCGCUCAGUCAGAGUUUGAUCCUGGCUCAGGAUGAACGCUAGCGGCAGGCCUAAUACAUGCAAGUCGAACGGGUGUAGCAAUACACUAGUGGCGCACGGGUGCGUAACGCGUAACCAACCUGCCCUUGACUGGGGGAUAGCCCGCCGAAAGGCGGAUUAAUACCGCAUAAACCAACAGCCUGGCAUCAGGCAAUUGGUAAAGAUUUAUUGGUCAAGGAUGGGGUUGCGUGACAUUAGCUAGUUGGCGGGGUAACGGCCCACCAAGGCGACGAUGUCUAGGGGACCUGAGAGGGUGAUCCCCCACACUGGCACUGAGAUACGGGCCAG
rnacentral:rRNA from 1 species